rnacentral:rRNA from 1 species
UGGGGAAUUUUGGACAAUGGGGGAAACCCUGAUCCAGCCAUCCCGCGCGUGCGAUGAAGGCCUUCGGGUUGUAAAGCACUUUUGGCAGGAAAGAAACGUCGCGGGUUAAUACCCCGCGAAACUGACGGUACCUGCAGAAUAAGCACCGGCUAACUACGUGCCAGCAGCCGCGGUAAUACGUAGGGUGCAAGCGUUAAUCGGAAUUACUGGGCGUAAAGCGUGCGCAGGCGGUUCGGAAAGAAAGAUGUGAAAUCCCAGAGCUUAACUUUGGAACUGCAUUUUUAACUACCGGGCUAGAGUGUGUCAGAGGGAGGUGGAAUUCCGCGUGUAGCAGUGAAAUGCGUAGAUAUGCGGAGGAACACCGAUGGCGAAGGCAGCCUCCUGGGAUAACACUGACGCUCGUGCAUGAAAGCGUGGGGGAGCAAACAGGAUUAGAUACCCUGGUAGUCCACGCCCUAAACGAUGUCAACUAGCUGUUGGGGGCCUUCGGGCCUUGGUAGCGCAGCUAACGCGUGAAGUUGACCGCCUGGGGGAGUACGGUCGCAAGAUUAAAACUCAAAGGAAUUGAC